UCUACUUGUUUAUACAAGGUUUAAAUUUGAUUAGAAAGUGUCUAAUGUUCCUCUUUCUAACGUGCUGGGUUGUAUCAUGGGUUCUUUCAGAGGAGCAGUAUAUAAAUGGCAGUGAGCUGGCUGUAGUUAAUUUACCUAGUUAAGCUUGUUGAGUGUGGAGGGUCAAGGGAUGUUGCUACAGGCUGAAUAUUUUUGUUCCCUCAGAAUUCAUCUGUUGAAACCUAAUCCCCAGUGUGAUGGUAUUCACAGCUGGAGCUUGUAGGAGGUGGUUAGGUUAUGAGGGUGGAGCCCUCAGGAUUGGGAUUAGCGACCUUCAAAGGUGACAGUAGCAUGCUCCUUCCACCAUGUGAAGAAACAGUGGGAAGAUAGCCAGCCAUCUUUGAACCAGGAAGAAGGAUCUCAUCAGAUACCCAGGCUGCCAUCCCUGUUAUCUUGGACUGCCCAGCCUCCGGAACUGUUCUUUCAAUUGGUAACUGCAAGUUCAAACUGAACAUUUUACAGCAUAUGCCAAGACCCUUGCAAUACAAAUGAGCUUUGAAGGCUGAAUCCAGACAGAUGUUUAGACCCUCUAAGGCAAUGCUUCUCCAAGGGAGGCACCAAGAGCAUCUGCAUCAGAAUCCUCUGAGGCACAUGCCUUGACUAUAAUGCCAUGCUCAGGAUGUAAAAGAGGCAUACUCCAAAGGGCAGCAUUUUAAGUAAAAGCAUCAAAUCAUAACCAAACGACUUCCAGAGAAAUCAGCCAAGAGACUGCAGCAAGAGAUCAUAUGGCUUUUCUGCCUUAUUCUACUCAUAUGAAAGUGACGUUGACUGGUUUUCAAUUGAUGGACGAACCUUGUAUGGCUGGAAUAAGCCCCACCUGGUCAUGAUGUAUUAUUCUCUGCACAAAUUGCUGGAUUCAUUUGCUAUGUUGUUAAAGAUUUUGUGUGUAUGUUCAUGAGGGAUAUUGAGCUUAAAAAGAACCUGGAAUGGUGAAUCUGCUUUGAUGUUUCUAUCCAUGAAGAAUAUCUGAUGGAGUAUAAUAUUUCUGCCUUGAGGAGGAUGGUGGGCCCUUAAUCCAAUAUGGCUGAUGAUCUUAUAAGAAGAGGAGGAGAGACAUAAAGACAGAGACACACACGGAGAAGUUGAUCAUGUGAUGAUGGAGGCAGAGAUUGGAGUGAUGUAUUUAAAAGUCAACGGAUGUCAAAGAUUGCCAGCAAUACUAGAACCUAAGAUAAGAAUUUUGCAGCAUCUCCCAGAUCUGUGUGGAAUUUGUUCAGAUUAAAGCUCCCGGCUGUCCUUCUUGGUCCUGCCUUGUGAGUUUCUCCUUGUGAAUGCACAGAACAAUGUGCCUCUCUUUGAUUGCGACCCUCUCAAUCCUUUCUAGAGGAAAUCAUUGGCUAUUGUGGUUUAUUUGGAUUCCCAUUUUUAUUCGGGUUUCUAGUGGUUACUGUAGAAAUCCCAGCAUGCUCCUCUAAGUCUUCUGCGGCCCUGGGAAGUGGUCUGCAUCCGCCUCUGAGGCUCUCCUUUCACAGAUCAGACCUUCCUAAAUACAAAGAGUCAUUCUCAAGAAUGCGAACAAUGACUUUAUUUGUGAAAAUGAAUAACACUGAAAUCUUAUUUAUUGAUUCAGAAGAGGACUUAAGAUAUAUCAUUCUGGAUCCCUUAUAUUCAGAUCCUCAUUAGUGAAAACUGCCAAAAUUCAUCUAAUCAGUUUUCACAGCAACAUUUAAGAAAUACAAUAUGCUUAUAACUUUACAAAGAGAGGAAUUUCAGAAAGUACAAUUUUGAAUUCCAUCAUUACUACUGCAAUCAUAUUCUCAAGGUAUGAGGCAAAAUAAUGUGGAACUGCUAGUUACAUGUAAGUAUAUUUGACAUUUUCAGCAGUCCUCCUCCAAAAGAAAAGAAAAAGAGAGAAUGA
rnacentral:lncRNA from 1 species